rnacentral:rRNA from 1 species
UACCAGCUCUCCGAGAGUGGUGUGGAUGUUAUAUKGGGCCUAAAGCAUCCGUAGCUGGCUGAGUUWGUCCUUUGUUAAAUCCACCGAAUUAAUCGUUGGAUUGCGGGGGAUACUGCUCGKCUAGGGGACGAGAGAGGCWGACGGUAUUUUCRGGGUAGSGGUGAAAUCCUAUAAUCCYGGGAAGACCACCAGUGGCGAAGGCUGUCUGCUAGAACGCGCCYGACGGUGAGGGAUGAAAGCUGGGGGAGCGAWCCGGAUUAGAUACCCGGGUAGUCCCAGCUGUAAACGAUGCARGYUAGGUGUUUGGGCGSCCWCGUGCCGCUCUAGUGYCGCAGGGAAGCUGUUAAGCYUGCCGCCUGGGRAGUACGAUCGCAAGAUUGAAACUUAA